AAUCUCAAUCCCUCGGGUUUUAUUACCUGUUGGACUUGGAUUUGGGUGUAUGCCGCGAACUGCAAAGGACGUCGGCUCGCCUUAAAUGUGUUA
rnacentral:misc_RNA from 1 species